UCUAUUUCUCGAUGGGGCCGGGAAGGGAUAUAACUCAGCGGUAGAGUGUCACCUUGACGUGGUGGAAGUCAU
rnacentral:tRNA from 2 species